rnacentral:rRNA from 1 species
AACGAACGCUGGCGGCAUGCCUAACACAUGCAAGUCGAACGAGACCUUCGGGUCUAGUGGCGCACGGGUGCGUAACGCGUGGGAACCUGCCCUUAGGUUCGGAAUAACUCAGAGAAAUUUGAGCUAAUACCGGAUAAUGUCUUCGGACCAAAGAUUUAUCGCCUUUGGAUGGGCCCGCGUAGGAUUAGCUUGUUGGUGGGGUAAUGGCCUACCAAGGCGACGAUCCUUAGCUGGUCUGAGAGGAUGAUCAGCCACGCUGGGACUGAGACACGGCCCAGACUCCUACGGGAGGCAGCAGUGGGGAAUAUUGGACAAUGGGCGAAAGCCUGAUCCAGCAAUGCCGCGUGAGUGAUGAAGGCCUUAGGGUUGUAAAGCUCUUUUACCAGGGAUGAUAAAGACAGUACCUGGAGAAUAAGCUCCGGCUAACUCCGUGCCAGCCGCCGCGGUAAUAC